UACGUAGGGGGCAAGCGUUGUCCGGAAUCAUUGGGCGUAAAGCGCGUGUAGGCGGCCAGAAAAGUCCGCUGUGAAAACUCGAGGCUCAACUUCGAGCUGUCGGUGGAAACUUUCUGGCUAGAGUCCGGAAGAGGAGAAUGGAAUUCCUGGUGUAGCGGUGAAAGUGCGCAGAUAUCAGGAAGAACACCCCGUGGCGAAGGCGGUUCUCUGGGGACGGUACUGACGCUGAGACGCGAAAGCGUGGGGAGCGAACAG
rnacentral:rRNA from 1 species